GUCUAUGGCCAUGCCACCCUGAACAAGCCCGAUGUCUGAUCUCGGCAGCUAAGCAGGGUCGGGCCUGGUUAGUACUUGGAUGAGAGACUACCUAGGAAUGCCAGGUGCUGUAGGCA
rfam:Pteropus alecto contig41188, whole genome shotgun sequence.